rnacentral:lncRNA from 1 species
UCAAGAUGCAUCAUACAUUUUAAAUCACCAAAUGAUCCUGGCAGUUUUGAUAUGCCAGAACAACCUGACAAACCCAGAUAUUUCAGACACCAGAGCUUGCCCAUUGAUUCUGGUAGUGCAGAAAUGUGAGAAGAUCCAUUCAGGUUCAGGUACUGCAGUUUUGAUAGCUCAGUCAUAAACUCUGGGAGAACAUCAUUUUGCAUUUGUGAAGCAGUAAGGUACUUCAGCUGCUUCAGUUUCCCAAUAGAGGCUGGCAACAGUAUACCAGAGCAUCCACUAAAAUCCAAAAUACGCAAACACUUUGCAAAUGAAAAUGCCCCACAAGAGAGAUCCAACUUGCUGCUAUCUGAGAAAUGAAGUGCCCUCACCUUUGAGGGUAAAACAUUGGAUAACUUUGUUGUGUUGUCAUAUUUGGUAACUGAUGCAUAGCGACAAUAUUUCUGGCUAUUUGUUUUAUUAUUCUUCGAUGCAACAUUAGAAACAAUUAACUCAUCACCCAUGAUUAAUGUUGCCAGAUCAUGCACCAGGUCAUGCAUAGUGUACCGCUCCAUAUGAUCUCCCGAAGUCUAAAAUGAUAAGUUAACCAUACUCCAUUAAAAUGUCAACUAAUAAUUUCUUCACUUUGUAAUAAAAUUUAAAUCCUAAGUUUACAUGUGUAUAAACUGUGAGGAUACCCAGUUUACUUACUAGUAAAUAUGUAUUGUAUAUCAUAUCUUCACUAAAGAAAUAUUACUUACUGAAAGAGUAAAACAUACUAUCGGUCCUCAAAAUUGUAAUGUUAUGUCAUCCAGGUCCCGAACUAGCAAAAUGAUCAAUAAGAUCCCCCAAAAAACUUGCUAAUUGUACCAUAUGAGUCACAAAUCAUCUAACAUAAGUCAAACCACCUGCGUGGCAUGCUGUUUAUAUUAUGCUAUGACAAGGACCCGACAAGUGGGGACUACGUAUUGGGCCCAUCUUUCCUCUCUCUCACCCGCUCUAUCCUCCCCCCAUUUCAUCCCCUCCUCCUCCGGCCCAUCUCAUGCUUGGCAUGUUACCAAUGCCGUAUGGGUUGCUCUCACGUUCGGUCACCAUGCAAGUGUCUAUUUCCAAGUCUCGGUGCCAUGUGUGGCUGUGACAACCAGUUACUAGUUGGGAAGUGAACUCCUACACAGCCGGUCAGCAGCUUGCCUCUAGCUGUAGCCUCUAGUGUCUACACUGCUGAGAGGUACCUGUCGAGCUUGACCACUACCUCUCCAUGAUGGGUAGCGGAGCAAGGAAGAGGUGCUCGUCCUAUGCACAUGCUUGCAACGACAAAGGGCAAGCACCUUUGUGGCGACCACCAGCCCGACUCUACCAUUUCCUGUGAGCUUCUACCAUUGUCGCUCUACCUACUCACCUCCAGUGCCUUCAAUGCCACAUCGAAGCACACAAAACCACCUCUUCUCCCUGAUCAUUCUUUCUCUAUGAAACUAAUAGGCAAGCCAGCAGCGCAGCUCCCUUCCUCUGCGCUGGAGGCUGAAGCAGAGCACCACAAUUCCACAACCCCAUGAUUGGUGUCAUACUGUAGCAAUGUUUAGGGACUUGAUUGUACUUUUUGCGAGUUAUGGGACUGGUGAAGUACUUUAUUACUAUUAAAACAUUAAAACUAAUGAGAACUAGAAGGACAGACUAACAAAUAGUUUUGCUUUUGGAUCUUGCUAAGAGAUCGCCUGAAUACAACCUCCUCAGAAGAUAUUAUAACAUGCAUCUCAAUGAUUACACAUGUGUUCUAUGUUCAGCAGGUAGUUAAGAAAAUCUGAUGCACUUAUUCUUUGAAUGUUGUUUUAGUCAAAUGUGUUGGGUGUUUUUGGGAAUUGUGUGGAAUCUUUCGCUAGCCCCUUUAGAUAUGAUCAUUCAGACUCGACUUAAUUUUUGGAGAACAGUUUUCAGGGAGAUUAUCAUCAUUGCUAGCUAGUGCAUUUGGUGUCAUCCCAACAGUAUUAUCUUUGAUAAUGGUGUUCGGUAUAUAGCUAAGUGGAAAUUGGAUUUCAGAGAAGAAAUCGACAGUGAAGCUUUCCUUGGAUAAUUGGAUGAGUAAUCUGUAACUUUUAAUUCCUCACCCCUUUUUUAUCUUUGAGCCUGUGAGCUUUGUAACUUCUUUGUACAUGCAUUUUUCUUUUUAUAUAUGCUGAGUCGAAGAUAUAAAACCAAUAAAAAAAAUAAUAAAUCAUCUAAAUUUGUUUGAAAUGUGUUUCCAUGUGUGGUUCAAAGCUAUACAAGCCUACAAUAUAAGCAUGUGGGAAGGCAGGGUAAAGAAGGAAAUUGUUUUUAGUAAUAUAUGUGGAAAUCUCAAGAAUAGGUAGUGUGCCCCCAGACCUUAUCUAUACUUUAACUGAAGUUAGGAUACAUAUCGUAUAAUAGUAAAAAGUCAAAUGUCAUCAAUUGAGUUGUGGUAAUGACUAGUAAUAGGCAAAAACAGAUCAAUAUGCAAACCAAUAUGCCAAGAGAUCAAUCAGCAGGAAAGAGUAGUGUUCUGGUAGUUAUAUAUACUUCAACAUUACCUUGGGCAACUUUGAAACUUGAAGGAAGGACAUGCCCAAAAGUUGUCUGGUGUAUUCCUUCCCCUUCGAUGGCUUGAUAAAACCAAGAGCAAUCCAUUGGUGAAUCAAAUCAUCUUUAGCAAUAUUAUGGCCUUUUGGGAAUAUGGCACAAUAAGAAAAGCAUAUCCUUAGCUGUGGUUGCAUCCUUUCAUAGCUUAACUUCAAGGACGGUAGCACACCACCGUUAUCUUCAGAAGAUUCAUUCCAGAUAUCACUGUUGUUUAUUUCUGUCCAUCCAGACAGAUCUUUGGAUUGUAGCAUGUAUCCAAGUGCUUGAGCUGCUAAUGCCACACCUCCACAUUUCUUUGCAAUGUCCAAUCCUAUCUUCUCUAAUCUUUCUUGGUAAUGUUGAUCUUCAAACCUGCUAUAUCUCUUAAUUAUUUCCCAGCAUGUAUUAUCGUUCAAAGGCUGCAGCUUGUAUGGUGUACAUGUGGAAACUUUCCUUGCAAUGUCUUCCUUGCGCGUGGUUACUAUGACAUCUAUGGUAGUGCCCUUCUUGCCCACCUGAAGCAUACUCCUCAAUUUCCCCAACUCAUUGUCCUUUUCCUCCCAUAAGUCAUCUAAAACAAUAAGAACUUUCUUGCCACGGAGUAGGUUGUCUAGGCACUGAUUUAUGGCUUCCAGUGUAUCCCUAUUCUGCUGGCCUCCUUCUAUUGGUAUUAGAGAAAUUAUAGAGCUUCCUAUUUUCUUUAGACUGAAAUCCCGGGACACAUAAACCCAUAUACGAUGGUCAUACUUCUUGAAUUGCGCAUCAUUGUAUAUUAGUUGUGCCAAAGUACUCUUGCCCAUACCUCCAAGGCCAUGGAUAGAAACAAUCACAGUCUCAUCAUUGUUGGUACCUGCGGAUAAGAGGUUUAUGAUUUCCUGCUUUUCUCUAUUCCUCCCAAUUAUUGGUUCUUCAGGCAAACGUGAUGAUGUUUCACGAUCGUCAUCAUGUUGCUCAAGAGAUGUGCAAGUGCGACCCUCUGAGAAUUUAAAAUCCCGAAAGUCCUUGCUGAUUUUCCUCAGUUCUUCUCUCAUACUCUUCAUCCUAUUAGCCACGACAAUCUUCUUGUGUGCAACUGGUAGACAUGAAAGCACUCCUGGCUUCUGCAAAAAUUUCAUUUAUUCUCAGUUGGAAUCUACACUAAGAAAAUAGGCUUCAGAUCAUAUGAACUUAAAUGGAAAUCGAACCACAAACUGAAGUAGGAACUGACUAAUCGGCUAGAUAUUUCAAAUUUAAGAGGUCUGUAUGUUCGCUGAGAUGAACGAUAUUAACCGCUACUGGCGGUAUCGAGGCAGGUACCAGAUGGAUGGCCUUUUAACAGAUUUACAAGCUUACAUGUCCUAGCUAGUAGCCUGUAGGUAUUGAGCUAUUAUCCAACAACAUCAUCAGGUAUAUGAAACCCAGCCCUGAGCAGUACAAAGGGGGAAAAAAUAAACCUUGCUAAAAAAGAAGGUAUAUUUCUUUGACACAAAAUCAAUUAUAGGAGGAAACUCAAUAAUCCAAAUGGCUUAUAUAAGUAAGUUUGUGCGAUAUUUCUUGCCUUAAAUUUAUUUGUGCGCACUAACUCACGGAAUCACAUUGCCGCACUAAAUCUGAUCUAUCAAACACGCUCGAGAUUGAGAAGACAUUCUAUUCUGGUCCAAAGUUAUAGACAUCCGGUUGAAACUAAGAGAGUCAAAUUGAUAAUGAAUUAGUUCUCCACAGGAGGGAUGCGAUCGGUUUCAAAGGAGUUAUAACCACGCACCUUUGCAGUUAACCGGUCGCUAGUGUCUUGGUAGUCUUCGAGCAUGUCGGUGAUGUCUAAGGCAGCAUGCUUGAGCCGCUUGAGCCACAGCUCCACCAACUUCUCCUUGGCCGACCGCCUCUCAGCAUCCUGGAGCGCCGCUGAGAUGGCCUCCAGCACCGAGUUCAUGUACCCCAGAUCACCGCCGAAGUUCCAAAGCAAAUUGGCCUGCUCCGUGAUGGCGGCGGCCAGCUUAUCUUUCGCGAUGCCGACGACGGCGGAAGUUAGCAAUCCAGCUAAGAUCUCCGCCAUGGCUGCGAGCUCUGAGACUUGUGCGAAUGGAGCGCGUGAACAGAGCCAAGGUGCAGCAGGGUUUAGUAGUUUAGUUGACCACAAAGUUUGCAGCAUCCCUGUGCUCUUGUCUGCUCUUCACUGGCGUUGACGGACAACUGACGGUAUCCUGAUUACCAGCUGGCGCCAGUGGGAGCGCACAACAUCUGAUGGAGCGCCAGUGGGACCGUGUUUGUCGUUCGAUUCUCAACUUUCAUAUUCAGUAAACUGACCCGCUACUUCACCAGUUUCCAACUGCCCAGCUGCUUUCUUUGAUAGCUCACAAUUUCACGUCGAUCGAGAAGAUAGAGAGUUGUUUUCUGUGUACAAAAAACUAAAGCACAUGUAUGCACGCUGGUUCCAUGUGUGCCCGUAGAAUCUCGAGGCAAAACAGUUGGAACUACCAAAAUGCUGACUGACCUUAGCGAUUUAAGUACUAUAUAUGCAGGUCAUCACCAACCUAACUCCUGUGUCUGUUCAGAACUCUGAGGCUAAAUAAACUGGUUCAUAUCACUAAUCUCUGAAGCAAUUUGCAUAACUAUAUUUACUGAUCGAAGCAGAUUGGAUCUCGAUGUUAGUAGUACUCAAACAAAACCGAAGCAUGUGCUCAGGCCAGCAGUUUAGACCACCGAGGCCCUUAUCUGAUCUUAGAGAUCCAAAGCGUUUUAGUAUUUACAACUGAGACUAAACUAAUGAGUGAAGCAUCUUGGAAAGUGGUGAAGCAUCAGUUCUAGGCACAUAAAUCAGUUUAACAUUCAAGUGAGUGAAGGGCAUCUUAAUUAGCAUGGUAAUUUCAUGCCUACUUGGCACUUUUGGCAACGUGUAAGACUUUUCUUGGUCUUGGAUUCCGGAGCCACUACUAGCGCACCCGAUCAGCUAGUGGGCCUCUCGCAAUUCUAUGCCAAAUCACGUGAUAGAAUGCCACUAGGUAGCACUAGCCUAUAGCACAAAACUGUAAUUUGAUGCCUGGACCUAGGAUUAGUUUACACCCAAUAAUCCCAAGUUUUUUAUGUACCGCCGUAUACAAUGCAAUUUAUUAAAACUGCUGAUGAAUGUGAUGUGACAAAAAUAUAGGAGGCUACGUACUUUUACAUUGAUGUGUCAUCAACUUGGUGAUUAUUCCGAGCUUAUCAAGAUGCCAACAUCAAAGUUUGGAGGGGCUCUUAAAACAUUAUUUCUUCAAAGAUUAUUAACCGAGGCACGAUGGCAGACAUAUAAUUAAUUACUGCAUGUGUUCUAGUCAGUAGGAUCGGUUAUCAGGUUUAUUAAGUACGUACUGAGGCGUAGCAUGCAUAUAUUGCAAUUAGCAGCAAUCUUAGCUUGUCAUCUUAAUUGUAUGUUUGCUUUCCCUGCACUGUGCACAUCCGUAUUUAGAUAGCAAAUUUUGCUCUUGCUCGUUUGAAGGGGAUCCUAUAUCCACGAGACAUAAAGUCGCAGAGCUUCGUGUUGCUUUUCAAAAAGCAACUGCUCUCUGCAAAUAAUCUUUGAUGACUUCCCCAAGUCAACGUCUUCGUCUUAGCUGGGCGCUCAUUCCACUUGCAAGGUACAAAGCACUCAUCGAUCUCUAGUCCAAAUUAAACUCAAGCUAUCAUUGAUCCCUGCUUGUUUGCUCCCUCUUUUUGACCUUUUCCAACUAUAUCCUUGCAGGCGGUGGUGAAAUAAGGUGGAGAGGAGGAGUAGGAGGCGCACUUCUCACUGCGGCUGGCCGGGCGAGCUCGAGCUCCGCCAUGGGCCAGCGCCACCGGACGAGCGAGUUGGGCUGUCACGGCCGGCUGGGUGAGCCAAUCAGCGAAACUAUCCUUCAAAACCAGUGAAUGGCCAAAUGUAAACGGUUUUAGUAGCUUGAUGGUUGAAGAUUUCCUAAUUUUGGAGUUGGAUGGUCAAACAAACUCAGGUGAUAGUUCAAUGGUCAAAAAUAGACUUCCUCCUUAUUAAUUUCCAGCAAUAGAAAAAGUGUCAUGUACGAAGAGAAUGGAAACAGAGAGCCUUUAUGUAUCUAGAAAUAAGUGAAGAUACUUGACUUGCUGAAAUUAAGUCAUACAGGAAGUACAUAAGUUUUACAAGAAAACUUAUUGAAUGCUGGAUUUAGAAGAAUAUAAAUGCCGUUGUGAACUUACUAUGUUAAUGUGUGCGAUCCUGGUCUUGUUCUCUUCUGACUUGCACCACUGCUGUACGUAGUAGUUCAUGGUUCCAAUCAAUAACUAGCUGCUGGAGGUUGGUUAGGUGUUGUAUGCAUGUAGGCAAAGACUUGAUGCUAUCACAGCCCUUGAUGACGAGCUUUUUAAGAGAGGAGAUGUCGCUUAGCCAUUCCGACAGUGCUAAUAUGCUGUCACAACAAUUCAACUCGUGUGACUGAAGGGAGGAGAGUUACUGUAUGCCCUCCGGCAAACUCGUGUGACUCCUAGAGGGCAGGGAAGUGGUGAAACAGCCUCAAACUGUCGUGCUGCUAGCCAGGCUGGUGGUGGUUGGAUUAGAGUUGCAGCGACGAUGGCUGUUGGUUUGUACCUCCUCCAGUCUCCAGUGAAGAUAUAACUUGGUCGCUAUAGCUUAUUAUCCACUCACGGCAUUUCGGUGGGCAUGGUUUCAAUCUCAUCCCCAGACCAUCCUCGCCGGUGCAUGUUGUAUUUCACUCCUCCGAUCCUGGCAUAAAAGCUACUCUGAAGUCUGCCAAUCGGGAAACGCUCCUUUGCCAUGCCAAUCGGAAACGCAAAUUAAACUACUCAACUUAGGAUCACAUGGCCAAGUGCGGAUAACAAACUAUCUAGAACAAACGGAUCACAUGGCCAAGUGCGGCUUCUCCAGGAUCACAUGGCCAAGUGCAACCCUCCACAACUCGCUAGCUAGGACGUGGGCUCCAAAAGUCAACCAAUGCUCCACAAAUAACUUCUGCUGACUUCACAAAUCAGUAUCUUUUACGUACAAGUUGCAAGAAAAAAAUUAUAGCUGAAAUAAACAUAUAAUGUUGGAGCAAAUAGAGAAGCACCCUCGAAUGUGUUACCUUUGCGGCCCUAUCAUGUAUGGCACCUGAAUGUUUUGGAGCAUAGCAUUAUAUUUGUGCACGGUACUUGAAUGUUACGGAGCAUCUCUAGUACACAUUCCUCGGAUCUCUUGUUGCUUGGCUGAAACUGAGGGUCUGUUUGUUUCCACCCUCCUAAAACUAGUUUUAGCUCCUAAAAAGUGACUAAAAUAUGACUAAAGAGCCAAACACUAUGACUAAAAGUGACUAAAAACUUUUAGGAGGCUUUAAUUUCUUUUGGAGCUUCACCCCCUCCUAAAACCUCCUAAAACCUAUCCUGGACCCCACUGCCCUCAUUUAUUGCCCCCCAUCUCUCUCUCCCACCCUCCCUCCCUCCCUCGGCAACCGAGGGAAGGAGAGAGGGGAGGGGCGCCGGCAGGAGGAGGGGAGGGGGCGGCGCCAGCGGGAGGAGGGCGCCGGCCGCCGCCAAUGGGAUUUCUACUAAAAAAAUUCUAAAAAAAUUUACUAAAAAAAUUCCUAAAAAGUUUCUACUAAUUUAUUGGAAUUUCUAAAAAUAUAAAUCUUCACGGAGUGUCGAGAAGACGGCACUCAGCAACAUGUAAAUCUUCCCCGAGUGUCGAGAAGACGGCACUCGGCAACAUAUAAAUCUUUGCCGAAUGUUGAGAAGACGGCACUCGGCAACAUAUAAAUCUUUGCCGAGUGUUCUUCCGUCUAACACUCGGCAACAACUCCGUUACCGUACCGUGACAGUUCGUCAACACCUUUUUGCCGAGUGUUUAGUUUUGCCGAGUGUUUUUUGACACUCGGCAAAGGCUUUGCCGAGUGCCCGACGUUUGACACUCGGCAAAGAUACUGUUUGCCGACGGAAUAUUCGCCGAGUCCUCUUCACCGAGUGUUUUUAGGGCUUCGUCGAGUGCCUAGGGCACUCGGCAAACUUACUGUUUCCCGUAGUGAAUGCUCCACAAAUAACUUCUGCUGACUUCACAAAUCAGUAUCUUUUACUUACAAGUUGCAAGAAAAAAAUUAUAGCUGAAAUAAACAUAUAAUGUUGGAGCAAAUAGAGAAGCACCCUCGAAUGUGUCACCUUUGCGGCCCUAUCAUGUAUGGCACCUCAAUGUUUUGGAGCAUAGCAUUAUAUUUGUGCACGGUACUUGAAUGUUACGGAGCAUCUCUAGUACACAUUCCUCGGAUCUCUUGUUGCUUGGCUGAAACUGAAUCGCGCUGACAAUUACUAGUGCUACGGCUUCCGCCUGUAGCUGCGGGAGCAUGCAUGUGAGCCAGGGGUUACUAGUGCUGCGGCUUCCACCGGGGGUGUCGAGGGGUGGGGUGGGGUGCGGCUUCGCGCUUGCGGCGUGGGCGGACGGCGGGAGAACGAGUGAAUGACGGCGGCGGAUCCGCGGAUGGGCGGGAGGAGAAGACAAUAUAAUCCAAUCCAGACGCUUUCUUAAGAAGUUGAAGGGGCCUGUUUGCUAAGAUUUGAUGGCGAUUUAAUAGUUGUUGAAGGGGCCGGCCACAUGGACGUCGGCGCCUCCAACGUUCGCUUAGCCCCAGCGUGCUGUCCGCUCACCUCUGAAAGGGCUUUGCCGCUGCCCCCUCCCACGCACCACCGCUCCACGCCCCUGUCCCCCCGCCUGCUGCGGCAGAGUUCUCCCAGGGGAGCGUGGUCGUUUCGCAUACAUGCCUGUCAUCAUGGGCAUGGGCACUGUUUACUUGGAGAUGCUGUGAUUUAUAAACAAAAAAUUGUCAUACCUUGUAGGAAUGCUUGACUCAAUAAUUUAGCUGCUGCACUGUUUUCCCCCUGUUUUGCUACCAACCAAAUGUAAUCAUUGUUGAUGUUCCAGGACAUGCUACUGGGUUAUGUGAGAAGCAUGGAAGCCUAGUAAUCAUAUGGAGGAGCGAAUACUUCAAGAAGCUUGCUUUCCUGCUUGGCAUUGGUAAUUCUGCUAAGGAUACAUCAUCUAAUAUUUCUGGACAUGGAUGCUCGAUAGUUUUGCUGCCGCUAAACCUGAGGUUGACCUGAAACUGAAAACUCUCGAGGAUAGUAAAACUAGUAGGCAUGCAUCAAGGGAGGAUUGUGUUUCUUGUGACCGGAAAAGCAUGGAUGGAUAAGUAUGAGUAACAAGGGUAUGCUUUCCCCCGUUUGUUUGAACUGUAUAAAAUCGAGUCGAACAGACCCUUAAACUUUCUUGGUAGUUCUGCUGCAAGAGUCCAGAGAUAUUUAUAAUGAUUAAAUAUAGAUGUCUAGUGCAAGUUCGUUGUCACCAGCCCCUAAUGCCCAAGUUCCUGUUCCUCGUACUGGUAGUGCGCAAGCUGAUGCUUCUUUUGAGCAGUGAUGCAUAUUUUGUUAUUUUUAUUUUGAAGGAAAUAUGAAAAAUAUGAUUUAUUUAUAUAUAAGUAGACGUAUCGGCGUAUUAGGGUUUUUAGUAUUUUGCUGUUUCGGCGUAUCAGUAUUGCUGUACCAGUACGGUAUCGUGUAUCGGUGAUACAUAGGUGCAUGGUUCUUGAAUGUUAUGGCCCUGUCCGUUGCUGCGGCAGAGUUCUCCCCACACACGACCAUGGGAGCGCGGUCGUUUGGCAUACAUGCCUGUCAUCAUGGGCACUGUUUACUUGGAGAUGCUGUGAUUAUUAAAUAAAAAAUAUCAAUAGAAUUAAGUUUGUACCUUGUAGGAAUGCUUGACUCAAUAAUUUAGAGUUCCUCAUCAGAUUCGAUGUAAUUAUGAUCAUACCUCUGCAAAGUUGAAAAAAGUGUGACUGUGAUUAGCUAUAGCUUAUAUUCAUGGAAAUCUAGACAUUGCAAAAAAAUAUCUGAUCAUGUCUACUGUAGACAACAAACAAAAUAUGUUAUCCUCUUAGUUAUUUUUCUUACUUUAACAUAUUAUCUGUACUAGAUCUGUUUGCUUUUGACAAACACGAGUAGUCUGUCAAAUAGAGUUCUAACAAAAAUAUUUGUAUCAUUAGCUAUCUAAUGAGAUAGAGAUAGUUCAGUGAAUUUCAUGUACAUUGUCAUCCAUGGUGUGAUUUCACCCUAUUUAUUAUUUUCCAGAAAUAAUAAAUACAUGAAGAUACUUGACUUGCUGAAAACAAAUAUGAAGUACAUCAGUUUUAUGAGAAAACUUGAUUGCUGGAUUGAGAAAAAUAAAUGCCGUUUUGUCGUGUGAACUUACUAUGUUAAUGUGUGCGAGCUUGGCCUUGUUCUCUUCUGACUCGCACCAUUGCUGCAGUUCCUUGUUGUAAUUCCGAUCAAUAACUAGCUUCUGGAGGUUGGUGAGGUGCUGUAUACAUGCAGGCAAAGACUUGAUGCUCCUAAAGUAGAUGAUGACGAGCUUUUUAAGAGAGGAGAUGUCGCUCAGCCAUUCCGGCAGUGCUGAUAUGCUGUCACAAUAACUCAACUCGAGCGACUGAAGGGAGGAGAGUUGCUGUAUGCCCUCCAUCAAGCUCGUCAGAUUUGAACACCAGGAGAAUUCCAACUCCUGGAGGGCAGGAAAGUGGUGAAACAGCCUGAAACUCUGGUGCUGACCUUUCAUGCAGAUAGCCAGUCUGAUGGUGGUUUUAGUAGAGUUGCAGCGAUGGCUGCUGGUAUGUACCUCCUCCAGUGAAGAUAUAACUUGGUCGCUAUAGUUUACUGUGAACUCACGACAUUUGGGUGGGCAUGGUUUCAACCUCAAAUUUGGACAUUUCAAUACCUCGAGUUCAUCUAGCAUAGGGAACAUGAACUCCUCUACACCAUCUUCACCAGGGCAUGCUGUAUUCCACUCCUCCAAACCAUCCAUAAAAGCCACUGUGAACUUUGCCAAUCGGGGAAAUGCUCCUUUGCCCCCGCAGAUACCCCCGUCAAUUUUCGAAACCUUGGGUAAAUAUCAGAGAUGCAGGCUCUCAAGGUACGGCAAUUGUCCAAGUGGUGCUAGGUUCUACAUGUAGGCAGAUACCACAAUUCAAUGGAAGUAAGAUUCCGGAGAUAAUGAGAAAUGUCCAUGAGCCAGCUAGGAAAGCUUGGACUACUAUAACCUUCUAGACUCAAGUCCUUCAGGCUCGUUGGUGGCACUAGUUGUCCCAACAAAUCUUCAUCCUCCAGAUGUCGAUCAGCAUUCCAUUUCCAAACCAGUUUCAAGCUCAAAAGAUUCUGUUUGGUCAACAGGUUGAGACUCUGUGCUUCCUCUAGAAGUCGUACAUUUUCAAGAUAAACUAUAUGUAACUCAUCGACGACAUUUUCACCCUCGAGCACAUGCAGAUUGCUAUGACCACUGAUGUUAUCAGCACGAACCUUAAAGAGUGGUAAUGUUAGUGAAUAGUGCAAUAGAGAACCGGCAUGAUCCAUCAAUUUGUGUGGGCACCCGUCCAGCAGUACAGACUUCAGUCCAGUUGCACAACCUAUACUCUCCGGGAGGAACUCAAGCACAAUGAAAUUCUUGAGAUCCAGUGUAUGCAGCGUUUUGAGAUUACCUAUAGUCUCUGGGAGGGACUUGAGCAACCUGCAAAAAUUGAGAUUCAGUGUAUGCAGCAUUUUGAGAUUGCCAAUACUUUCUGGUAGAUACCCAAAUCCGUUAUCCCUUAUGUCCAGAUGCUCCAGAUUGGUAAGUGUACCAACAAAAUUAAGCUGAUUGGUACGUCUACCAAAUAGGAAAUCUUCCAAUUUCAAAACCUUAAGAUUGGUGAGGUUUCUCAUAGUUACAUGUAGAGCUGCCUUCUCCAAAUUCUACGCGCACCUCGCGUUUGACAUAUCCAGAUAUUGUAAUGCGGUGAGGCCAUGCAGAGCUGCCGCUAAGCCUUUCUCCGUAUAGCAGACUCUCAAAUCUAGAUGCAAUAAAUUACGGAGCCUCUUAAAUGACUAUGUAAAUUCCCUGACACCACACCCUGACAUGUUUAAAUACUGUAGAUUGACCAGGCUGCUGUUGAAACCGAAUUAUCGGACUUCUAUAGUUAGUUUCGGAACAUGAAGCCUUCAUACUCCGAAACUGGGGGGCCUGUGUUGACACCGAAUGUAGGAAAUAUGCUCUGAAAGGAAGGAAUCGGCCGAUGAUGCAAAAGUUCCAACAGUUUGGCAUCCAAGGGAAGCCCACGUAUGGGAGGUUGCUUUAUAGAAUAAAAUAUACUGAAGAUAGAGUUGGUUAGGGAUAAGCUUGAUUAGAGAUAGGGUUGGUUUAGUUAGAGAUAGAAUUUUGAUUAGAAAAGAUUGUGUACGUAACUUGCCUUGUACGUGGUUAGAUGCCAAUUAUGUAACAUCAAAGACCAUCCACCCUAUAAAUAUAAAGGGUCCCGGUCGUUGUAAUUUUUAUCACACGAUCAAUAUACAACACAUUUAUCUUUUAUUUACCUUUUCGGCUUCACGCCAUUGCAUUAGGAGUAGGAGUAAUGUAGCUUCUCGACGAGUUCCUUCUAGCAAGCUGGGCUGCAUCGACCUCGAUCUCCGGCGAGCUGCAAAGUUUCAUCACCAGGUGUUCUAGGCUUUAACCACCUGGCGCAUCGCUGUGGUUUCGUCUAGUUUCAUCUACCAGUUAUCAAAUAUCUUCGAUCUUCGACUUACGGCGCAUCGCUUCUGUCUUGAUCUAAAGUAUUCAUCAAUUAUCCAGCCUUGACUAAGUUUGCAUCGGCUGAUAUUUAUCUGUUCUAUCAUCUUGCCAUUCAGUUUGCUUUAAUUAGCUUUAGAUCGGUUCAUUAUAGAUGACAGAUCGCUUAAUAGCCUGUUGCAUCUUAAUCUUGGUUACCCCUUCGAGUGCUGUUGGGAUUAAGUUUCGUUAUGAUUGGAUUCAUCGGCUGGUGGGGUUCAGAUUAACAUCCUACUAAAUAUUUUUAGACUGCAACUACCGGGCGCAUCGCUGUGGUUUCAUCUAGAGAUAUUGGUGGAGAGUUUAGUUUAGAUCUCAUCGGUUUGUGGCUCUAGCUAUGUUGGAGUGGCAGCUCAAUAGCAUCCUGUUUUCUAUCGGCCGCCUGGCCGAUGGUUAUUGUAAAUUAUAUUAAAUCGGCUGGAUGGCCGAUGAAUCACUCACAUUCAUUAAGGCACUGGAAUCGGCUUCACAGCUAAUAUAUUUGUCAUGAUUUAUUUUGUUGCACCAUUAUUGCUACUGUGCCAGGAUUAUAUCAGCCUGAUCGGCCGGUUGCCUCGGACUUCACAACGACUAUCAUCUCCUUGUCAGUUGAAUGGUCAAACUGACUGGCACGCCCGCGCACACCACGCGCGCCAAUUUGGAUUUUGCACUGGAGUUAAGCAGAUCUCUCAGGUCCUCAUGUGCUGAUGCAGGGUCCACCACUGUUGGGAUUUUGUGUCAACACAUUUUGGUGUCAACAGCUGCCUAUAUCUUCUGGUAGCCGUUUGAUAUAAUCACAAGAUGAUAAGUUCAAAUACUGGAGAUGCAUGAGGCCAUACAAAGAUUCAGGUAUUUCCUUAACACCGGAACAUUCAGAUAAAUCAAGAUGAUGCAAAUCUGUGAGAUUACCAAGUGAAUGUGGCAGUUCUCUUAUCCCAGAACAACCUGACAUGACAACAUGCAUUAUACAUUUUAAAUCACCAAAUGAUCCUGGCAGUUUUGAUAUGCUAGAACAACCUGACAAACCUAGAUAUUUCAGACACCAGAGCUUGCCCAUUGAUUCUGGUAGGGCAGAAAUGUGAGAAGAUCCAUUCAGGUUCAGGUACUGUAGUUUUGAUAGCUCAGUCAUAAACUCUGGGAGAACUUCAUUUUGCAUUUGUGGAGCAGUAAGGUACUUCAGUUGCUUCAGCUACCCAAUAGAGGCUGG